AACCAGCCUGUUUUUACAGAUAAAUGGCAUAACCUGGACCUGCUAUGUAAUGAUCAGAGCUGUAUCCUCCAAGCGUGUGAAAAAGACCAGCAAUGGAGCAACAGCGGCCAUCGUUCAUCCAUCCCAGCCAAGCUGGAAGAGGAGGCUGUUUAGCUUAAAUCACAAAGCACAGAAAGUUAGCCUCCUUCAGGACCAUGGAGAGCAGCAGCAUGGGGUACGACCUCUUCAAAGGCUGACCUCACCGACUCGUCCCUCGAGGCCGCCGUAGGGUCGGCAGGAGCAACCUGACCUGAGGCCGACGCUAAGCUGUUUUAUGUUGCUUGAGGAAAGGAAGUGCACCAACAGAACAUGGAGACAAACCCAGAAGGUUGUUCUCCUUCAGCUUUCAGAGCGGCACAAAGAGCUCACCUUCUAGCCAUUUGUAGAAGCCUUCCCCUGGGUGGUCAGGAACACAAACCAAAAGUUUAACUGGAGUCAGAGCAAUGAAAAGGAUGUCCUAAGGAGCAGACUGAGCUUCACUCACCAUCAUCAUCCCCUGAUAAGAGAGCAGCGGAGAAAAGAAAGGAGAAACCAUUAAAAUCAAACACAUGGAAAAAAAACUAAAUCAUCUGCAGCAUUUCAGAUUUCUUGGUUUUCAUAUUUUCGACACACUUAAUAUCUGAGCUAAUACUAAUUCCAUGAUGAGACAGAGAGCUGCUGCAAAGCCCAGCCAAUGUUCUGGUAAACCAUGAAAUGACCAAUGAUGGGAGUAGUUCCACUUCUCUACUUUUAUCCUUCUUGGAUCGGCAAUGAUUCUGUCUGACAUCAAGGGGAGUGGCGGCCUGGUGGUUCGGGCAUAGAGUUUGCAAUCCUGAGCCCCACUCCCACAGACAAUGCACAAUGGCAGCCCACUGCUCCCCAAGGCGAUGGGUUAAAUGCAGAGGACAUUCCAUUGUACUAGUGACAGUGGAAUGAACUCUCACAAACUCUUGAUCUUCCAGCUGUUUGUGCAAGGCAAGGCA